rnacentral:tRNA from 1 species
GCGGGCAUGGCGGAACUGGUAGACGCGCGGGUCUCAAAAACCCGUUCCUUCGGGAGUGUCGGUUCGAUUCCGACUGCCCGCACCA